GGCCCUGGGAUCCCCACGCUUUCCCUGCAUGAGGGGUGGAGGUGUCCUGCUCCCUCUGCGAGUGGAGACCUUGACCUGAUCCUCCAGAGCACAGGCUCAGUGCCACGGAGUUCCAGUGCUGUGGGAGCAGCUAAGUCUGAGAGAUGAGAAUCUGAUGAAGUUGGGUGGACUCAUUGUGACUCUGGAGCAAGAUGAUUACCAUGUA